AAGUAAUUAAAGGAUGAUAGUUGUGCCAAUAUUAUCUAGUGGCAAACUUGAGGGACUAAAAUAGGGUAAAAUGAAAGUUGAAUAUUAUUUAUGAAAAACACACACAAAUACACACACACGUACGUGUGUUCUAGAAGAGCAGGAGCUCCAUAAGAGCUCAAAACCCUAAACAUGAAGGAUCAUCAAAUUGAAGGGCAAAUCAAGGUCUAAAUUCAUGAAUAAACACGGAUUAAUGAUCACCUCUUCAUGGGGAUCGCAAGGAAUCAUGUCGAGACGGAAUCAGGCACGAAAGGCUAACGGGUCAAGAAGUGGCGAGGAACGAAUGGGAACACGGAUGCAUGAGGUUGUACAGAUAAUGGGCGAUUAUCACAAGGAUUAGAGAUCGAAGAUCGAGUCACAAGUUAGAUUGUACGGGGACGUUGAAUGUAAAAUGU